rnacentral:rRNA from 1 species
CCUACGGGCGGCAGCAGUGGGGAAUAUUGCACAAUGGGGGAAACCCUGAUGCAGCGACGCCGCGUGAGCGAGGAAGUAUUUCGGUAUGUAAAGCUCUAUCAGCAGGGACGAAAAAAGACGGUACCUGACUAAGAAGCCCCGGCUAACUACGGGCCAGCAGCAGCGGUAAUACGUAGGGGGCACGCGUUAUCCGGAUUUACUGGGUGUAAAGGGAGCGUAGACGGCAAGGCAAGCCAGAAGUGAAAGGGCAGGGCUCAACCCUGUACAUGCUUUUGGAACUGUGGUGCUGGAGUGCAGGAGAGGUAAGUGGAAUUCCUAGUGUAGCGGUGAAAUGCGUAGAUAUUAGGAGGAACACCAGUGGCGAAGGCGGCUUACUGGACUGUAACUGACGUUGAGGCUCGAAAGCGUGGGGAGCAAACAGGAUUAGAUACCCGAGUAGUC